rnacentral:rRNA from 1 species
UACGUAGGGUGCAAGCGUUGUCCGGAAUUAUUGGGCGUAAAGAGCUCGUAGGCGGUCUGUCGCGUCUGCUGUGAAAUCCCGAGGCUCAACCUCGGGCCUGCAGUGGGUACGGGCAGACUGGAGUGCGGUAGGGGAGAAUGGAAUUCCUGGUGUAGCGGUGGAAUGCGCAGAUAUCAGGAGGAACACCGAUGGCGAAGGCAGUUCUCUGGGCCGUAACUGACGCUGAGGAGCGAAAGCGUGGGGAGCGAACAGG